GAGUUUUCUGGCUUGGAUAUCUGACAUCCCAUUGAUUGCCACAGUUGAUUUAGCUGAUCUUGCUGGUCGGCAGGUGUCCCCUUCCUCCUUCACUGCUUCAUGUGCAUUCCUCCUGAUGCUGCGCACUCCGUUGAAGAUGAUGAACCUUCCCUGAAGGGAGAAGGUCCAGUCUUUGGGCAAAGAUAUUCGAGUAGUUGUGUUCCCCAGAUAGAACCUCCAAACAAACUUUCAAGGAAGAAAAUUUUAGUUUGGUUUCUGGUUCCAGAUGGUGGGCAUGCUGGCAUGACAGCAAAC
rnacentral:snRNA from 1 species